CCGCUAAACCCCCAAUUUCUAUGGUGACCUCGGAUCAGGU
rnacentral:rRNA from 1 species